GAUGAACGCUGGCGGCGUGCCUAAUACAUGCAAGUCGAGCGAACGGACGAGAAGCUUGCUUCUCUGAUGUUAGCGGCGGACGGGUGAGUAACACGUGGAUAACCUACCUAUAAGACUGGGAUAACUUCGGGAAACCGGAGCUAAUACCGGAUAAUAUUUUGAACCGCAUGGUUCAAAAGUGAAAGACGGUCUUGCUGUCACUUAUAGAUGGAUCCGCGCUGCAUUAGCUAGUUGGUAAGGUAACGGCUUACCAAGGCAACGAUGCAUAGCCGACCUGAGAGGGUGAUCGGCCACACUGGAACUGAGACACGGUCCAGACUCCUACGGGAGGCAGCAGUAGGGAAUCUUCCGCAAUGGGCGAAAGCCUGACGGAGCAACGCCGCGUGAGUGAUGAAGGUCUUCGGAUCGUAAAACUCUGUUAUUAGGGAAGAACAUAUGUGUAAGUAACUGUGCACAUCUUGACGGUACCUAAUCAGAAAGCCACGGCUAACUACGUGCCAGCAGCCGCGGUAAUACGUAGGUGGCAAGCGUUAUCCGGAAUUAUUGGGCGUAAAGCGCGCGUAGGCGGUUUUUUAAGUCUGAUGUGAAAGCCCACGGCUCAACCGUGGAGGGUCAUUGGAAACUGGAAAACUUGAGUGCAGAAGAGGAAAGUGGAAUUCCAUGUGUAGCGGUGAAAUGCGCAGAGAUAUGGAGGAACACCAGUGGCGAAGGCGACUUUCUGGUCUGUAACUGACGCUGAUGUGCGAAAGCGUGGGGAUCAAACAGGAUUAGAUACCCUGGUAGUCCACGCCGUAAACGAUGAGUGCUAAGUGUUAGGGGGUUUCCGCCCCUUAGUGCUGCAGCUAACGCAUUAAGCACUCCGCCUGGGGAGUACGACCGCAAGGUUGAAACUCAAAGGAAUUGACGGGGACCCGCACAAGCGGUGGAGCAUGUGGUUUAAUUCGAAGCGACGCGAAGAACCUUACCAAAUCUUGACAUCCUUUGACAACUCUAGAGAUAGAGCUUUCCCCUUCGGGGGACAAAGUGACAGGUGGUGCAUGGUUGUCGUCAGCUCGUGUCGUGAGAUGUUGGGUUAAGUCCCGCAACGAGCGCAACCCUUAAGCUUAGUUGCCAUCAUUAAGUUGGGCACUCUAAGUUGACUGCCGGUGACAAACCGGAGGAAGGUGGGGAUGACGUCAAAUCAUCAUGCCCCUUAUGAUUUGGGCUACACACGUGCUACAAUGGACAAUACAAAGGGCAGCGAAACCGUGAGGUCAAGCAAAUCCCAUAAAGUUGUUCUCAGUUCGGAUUGUAGUCUGCAACUCGACUACAUGAAGCUGGAAUCGCUAGUAAUCGUAGAUCAGCAUGCUACGGUGAAUACGUUCCCGGGUCU
rnacentral:rRNA from 1 species